rnacentral:rRNA from 1 species
AACGAACGCUGGCGGCAUGCCUAACACAUGCAAGUCGAACGAGACCUUCGGGUCUAGUGGCGCACGGGUGCGUAACGCGUGGGAACCUGCCCUUAGGUUCGGAAUAACUCCCCGAAAGGGGUGCUAAUACCGGAUAAUGUCUUCAGACCAAAGAUUUAUCGCCUUUGGAUGGGCCCGCGUUGGAUUAGCUAGUUGGUAGGGUAAAAGCCUACCAAGGCGACGAUCCAUAGCUGGUCUGAGAGGAUGAUCAGCCACACUGGGACUGAGACACGGCCCAGACUCCUAUGGGAGGCAGCAGUGGGGAAUAUUGGACAAUGGGCGAAAGCCUGAUCCAGCAAUGCCGCGUGAGUGAUGAAGGCCUUAGGGUUGUAAAGCUCUUUUACCCGGGAUGAUAAUGACAGUACCGGGAGAAUAAGCUCCGGCUAACUCCGUG